CAUUAAAGAGUUCUAUAACUCCCAAACCCAUGUGAACAUACCUAACGUUGCCUCGGCAGGUCGCACCUACCUUGUAGCACCCUACCCUGUAGGGCCUACCCGGGAGGUGCGGGUAAGCCUGCCGGCGGCCCACCAAACUCUGUUUGAUAUUGAAUUCUGAACCUAUAACUAAAUAAGUUAAAACUUUCAACAACGGAUCUCUUGGUUCUGGCAUCGAUGAAGAACGCAGCGAAAUGCGAUAAGUAAUGUGAAUUGCAGAAUUCAGUGAAUCAUCGAAUCUUUGAACGCAUAUUGCGCCCAUUAGUAUUCUAGUGGGCAGGACCGUUCGAGCGUCAUUUCAACCCUUAAGCCUUCGUUGCUUAGUGUUGGGAGCCUACGGCAACGUAGCUCCUCAAAGUUAGUGGCGGAGUUGGUUCACACUCUAGACGUAGUAAUUUUUUAUCUCGCCUAUUAGUUGGACUAAUCCCCUGCCGUAAAACCCCCAAUUUAUAUCAAGGUUGACCUCGAAUCGGUUCAGACAAACUCGCUAAAUUGAAGCAUCUUAGUCAGCGAAGGAAAAGAAACCAACAGGGAUUGCCCUAGUAACGGCGAGUGAAGCGGCAGCAGCUCAAAUUUGAAAUCUGGCCCUCGGGUCCGAGUUGUAAUUUGUAGAGGAUGCUUUUGGCGCGGUGCCUUCCGAGUUCCCUGGAACGGGACGCCUUAGAGGGUGAGAGCCCCGUACGGUUGGACACCAAGCCUCUGUAAAGCUCCUUCGACGAGUCGAGUAGCUUGGGAAUGCUGCUCUAAAUGGGAGGUAAAUUUCUUCUAAAGCUAAAUAUUGGCCAGAGA
rnacentral:rRNA from 1 species